UUGGAGAGGUCGUUCUCCAGUGGGGAAGAAGGAAUAACAAAAGGAGCAUUUUUGGAGCAUUUAUUAACAGUAUAGGCUAGGCUUUUUUUCUAUGUAUUUUAUAUGUGUCUAUUCAUUUAAUGCCCUUGAUAAUCCACUGAAAGAGGUGUCAUUAUUAUCAUCCCAUUUUACAGAAGAAGAAACUGAAACAAGAAGAUGAGCAUCUCAGCAUCUCAGAGGUGAAGAAACUGGCCUAGCCACCACGUGGUGGCACUUGCAGCCUGAGUCAGCAGAUCCCCAGGCAAAUGAAGACUCUGAGAUGAAGACAGCUGAGCGCAUGAUGGGGUAGGUCAGCCUCCCUCAUGGAAAUUCUGUGUGCCUGAGGCCCACCCUUCCAGUGCAGAUGGAGGGAUGGGAUGGAAAUGAAUCUAGGGGAACGCAUCCCAGCUGUGAUCCAGCCACCUCUGCGUUUGAAGGCUGGGGGUUAUUCCCUCCUCAUGGUUGCCACGCAUUCUUAUGUUUGCAUGUCAUGCUUGGAACUGCCGCAGCCACUUUGUGACAGCCUGAGAAUGAAUCCAGCGCUAAAAUCAGUCUAGCAAAAGGAGGAGAAACACCUGGGUCUCCAUGAUGUCACUGAGCAAGUGAAUUGACCAGCUGUGAGGUACUUCUGUGAUUCCUCCAUCUCACAGGACUGGUGUCCUUAUAAUGAAAGGAAGAGACACUGAGUUCUGUCUCCCAGCCUUGUGAGGACACGUUGAGAUGACUGCAAGCUGGGAAGAGAGCCUUCACCAGGAGCUGAAUUUGCUGGUAGUUUGAUCUUGAACCACAUUGAGAUGACUGCAAGCUGGGAAGAGAGCCUUCACCAGGAGCUGAAUUUGCUGGUACUUUGAUCUUGAACCUCCAGCCUCCAGAAUUGUGACAAAAUAAAUUUCUGUUGUUGAAG
rnacentral:lncRNA from 1 species